rnacentral:rRNA from 1 species
GAUGAACGCUGGCGGCGUGCCUAAUACAUGCAAGUCGAGCGAACAGACGAGGAGCUUGCUCCUCUGAUGUUAGCGGCGGACGGGUGAGUAACACGUGGAUAACCUACCUAUAAGACUGGGAUAACUUCGGGAAACCGGAGCUAAUACCGGAUAACAUGUUGAACCGCAUGGUUCAACAGUGAAAGACGGUCUUGCUGUCACUUAUAGAUGGAUCCGCGCCGCAUUAGCUAGUUGGUAAGGUAACGGCUUACCAAGGCAACGAUGCGUAGCCGACCUGAGAGGGUGAUCGGCCACACUGGAACUGAGACACGGUCCAGACUCCUACGGGAGGCAGCAGUAGGGAAUCUUCCGCAAUGGGCGAAAGCCUGACGGAGCAACGCCGCGUGAGUGAAGAAGGUCUUCGGAUCGUAAAACUCUGUUAUUAGGGAAGAACAAAUAUGUAAGUAACUAUGCACGUCUUGACGGUACCUAAUCAGAAAGCCACGGCUAACUACGUG